rnacentral:rRNA from 1 species
UACGUAGGGUGCAAGCGUUGUCCGGAAUUAUUGGGCGUAAAGAGCUCGUAGGCGGUCUGUCGCGUCGGAUGUGAAACCUCGGGGCUCAACCCCGAGCCUGCAUUCGAUACGGGCAGACUAGAGUUCGGUAGGGGAGACUGGAAUUCCUGGUGUAGCGGUGAAAUGCGUAGAUAUCGUAAGGAAGACCAGUGGCGAAGGCGGGUCUCUGGACCUGUCCUGACGCUCAGGCGCGAAAGCUAGGGGAGCGAACAGG